rnacentral:rRNA from 1 species
GAUGAACGCUGGCGGCGUGCCUAACACAUGCAAGUCGAGCGGCAGCGAGGGGUGCUUGCACCCUGUCGGCGAGCGGCGGACGGCUGAGUAACGCGUGGGAACGUGCCCCAAGGUGAGGAAUAACUGCCCGAAAGGGUAGCUAAUACCGCAUAUUAUCUUCGGAUCAAAGGAUUUAUCCGCUUUGGGAGCGGCUCGCGUCGGAUUAGGUAGUUGGUGAGGUAAUGGCUCACCAAGCCGACGAUCCGUAGCUGGUCUGAGAGGAUGACCAGCCAGACUGGAACUGAGACACGGUCCAGACUCCUACGGGAGGCAGCAGUGAGGAAUCUUCCACAAUGGGCGAAAGCCUGAUGGAGCAACGCCGCGUGCAGGACGAAGGCCUUCGGGUUGUAAACUGCUUUUAUAAGUGAGGAAUAUGACGGUAACUUAUGAAUAAGGAUCGGCUAACUACGUG